rnacentral:rRNA from 1 species
CCUACGGGAGGCAGCAGUGGGGAAUAUUGCACAAUGGGGGAAACCCUGAUGCAGCGACGCCGCGUGAGUGAAGAAGUAUUUCGGUAUGUAAAGCUCUAUCAGCAGGGACGAAGAAAGACGGUACCUGACUAAGAAGCCCCGGCUAACUACGUGACAGCAGCCGCGGUAAUACGUAGGGGGCAAGCGUUAUCCGGAUGUAUUGGGUUUAAAGGGUGCGUAGGCGGAAUAUCAAGUCAGCGGUAAAAAUUCGGGGCUCAACCCCGUCGUGCCGUUGAAACUGAUGUUCUUGAGUGGGCGAGAAGUAUGCGGAAUGAGUGGUGUAGCGGUGAAAUGCAUAGAUAUCACGCAGAACUCCGAUUGCGAAGGCAGCAUACCGGCGCCCAACUGCCGCUGAAGCACGAAAGCGUGGGUAUCGAACAGGAUUAGAUACCCUAGUAGUC